AUAAACUACACAUCGACUUGUUUAAGUCAGGAUGAAAAGAACUUCAGGCAAACUUGGGCUUUUUUUUUUUUUCCCCGGCACUGACUACUUGUGUUUAAUUGGUUAACUCCCUUCGGUUCGAUCCCUCUGUGAACUCAGAGUUUCUGCAUGCUUCAAAAAUAUUUUAAAAGAUGAGAUUUUAAUCCACUUUCUCAACAGUGGUCAGGAUGUUUCCACCCCCCAAGAACUGAUGUGAAGAAACUGACUGAUUGCCGUUGCAAACCAUUGAAGCCAGGAGUGCAGGGGAUACAGAUAUGUAGCAGGAGACUGGAAAACCGUGGAAGGACCCAAGUGCAUUUUAUAGGAAGAGGCAAAAACGGAUGUGGAGGAUUGGGAAGAAGGCACACUUGUUAGGGUUCUAACAGAAAGCAGGAAGAAACAGGGAAGAAGUAGGACAGGACAUUGGAAAACCUGCGAUGAGGAGAGUUCAGCAUGUUUUGGAAGGAGAAGGUGGGAUUUGUUAUGCAGCAGGAGCGCUGCCUUCUCAGUGUCAUUUCCCCAUCUGUCUCGCUCAGCAGUGUUACAGUCUCGGCUGAUCCAUGUGUGCAGUCAUCAGUCAGAUCAUACCACGUAGUGACACAGUGAGCCUGAAAACUAUUCUUGUACAAUGUCUGCCAUGCUCUGUAUUUUCCUCAAAGGAACUGUGGAUACAAUUUGAACUUGUAUAUAUUCUUUCCAGAGGCCAGGAAAAUGAAUAGUUCCUUUUUCCGUAUUUGAAAUUCCCUCAACAAUAGAUUUACUAUUAUUUAAUCCUUCUUACUUUAUAAGCUGUAUUUAUCUUUUGGAACUCAUAGAAUUUUAUUGCUUUGCACUAGUCCCAUGGAAAUUUAGGGAAAUGUCUCAACCUAUUGCAAGGGGAAACAGGCUUUAAAAAUCUUACUUUGUCUAAAAUUUGCCAUCACUUUCCCCACACCAUAAGUUGCGCUGUGCACAAUAUGCAAAAGAUGCUUCAUCUAAUAUCAAUGCUUAUAAAAAGAUAAACCACAAUCUAUUGGUGACAAUACCUUUCCUGUUUUAUUCAACAUUUAUUUGGCAUUGCAAGCAAAGUGUAUUAAUUCUGUCCUGGA